rnacentral:rRNA from 1 species
AGCGAACGCUGGCGGCAGGCCUAACACAUGCAAGUCGAACGAACCUUUCGGGGUUAGUGGCGGACGGGUGAGUAACACGUGGGAACGUGCCUUUAUGUUCGGAAUAACUCAGGGAAACUUGUGCUAAUACCGAAUGUGCCCUUCGGGGGAAAGAUUAAUCGCCUUUAGAGCGGCCCGCGUCUGAUUAGCUAGUUGGUUGAGGUAAUGGCUCACCAAGGCGACGAUCAGUAGCUGGUCUGAGAGGAUGAUCAGCCACAUUGGGACUGAGACACGGCCCAAACUCCUACGGGAGGCAGCAGUGGGGAAUCUUGCGCAAUGGGCGAAAGACUGACGCAGCCAUGCCGCGUGAAUGAUGAAGGUCUUAGGAUUGUAAAAUUCUUUCACCGGGGACGAUAAUGACGGUACCCGGAGAAGAAGCCCCGGCUAACUUCGUG